UACGUAGGGGGCAAGCGUUGUCCGGAAUCAUUGGGCGUAGAGCGCGUGUAGGCGGCUCGAUAAGUCUGCUGUGAAAGUCCAGGGCUCAACCCUGGGAUGCCGGUGGAUACUGUCGAGCUCGAGUCCGGAAGAGGCGAGUGGAAUUCCUGGUGUAGCGGUGAAAUGCGUAGAUAUCUGGAGGAACACCGGUGGCGAAGGCGACAUCCUGGACCGGUAUUGACGCUGAGGCGCGAAAGCCAGGGGAGCAAACGGG
rnacentral:rRNA from 1 species